rnacentral:snRNA from 1 species
UAAGUUAGGCAGUGUCUUUGGUUUUCAUGUAGUCCAAUAUCUUGCUGAUGCCUGAGAUUUCCCCAAAUGUGGGAAACUCAACCACAUAAUUUGUGGGAGUGGGGGACUGUGCUCGCCCUUUCCCCUG